rnacentral:rRNA from 1 species
UACGAGGGGUGCUAGCGUUAUUCGGAAUCAUUGGGCGUAAAGGGUGCGUAGACGGUGUAUUAAGUCUGUUGUUAAAUUUUCCGGCCUAACCGGAAGCCAGCGGUAGAAACUAAUACACUAGAGGAUGGAAGAGAGAAGUGGAAUUCUCGGAGUAGCGGUAAAAUGCGUGGAUCUCGAGAGGAACACCGAUGGCGAAGGCAGCUUCUUGGUCCAUUCCUGACGUUGAGGCACGAAAGCGUGGGGAGCAAACAGGAUUAGAUACCCCCGUA